CAGUAGCCGCGGUAAUACAGAGGGUGCGAGCGUUAAUCGGAUUUACUGGGCGUAAAGCGUGCGUAGGCGGCUUCUUAAGUCGGAUGUGAAAUCCCUGAGCUUAACUUAGGAAUUGCAUUCGAUACUGGGAAGCUAGAGUAUGGGAGAGGAUGGUAGAAUUCCAGGUGUAGCGGUGAAAUGCGUAGAGAUCUGGAGGAAUACCGAUGGCGAAGGCAGCCAUCUGGCCUAAUACUGACGCUGAGGUACGAAAGCAUGGGGAGCAAACAGGAUUAGAUACCCGGGUAGUCCCUGUCUCUUAUAC
rnacentral:rRNA from 1 species